UAUGAUGGCGGCGUGCUUACCAUGCAAGUCGAACGAGAACAGAAGAGAGCUUGCUUUCUUGCUGCUAAGUGGCGCACGGGUGAGUAAUGUAUAGGUAAUAUGCCUCUUACUAAGGGAUAAUUGAUGGAAACGCCUUGUAAUACCUUAUAUGCCUUUUGAACAUAAGUUCGUAAAGGGAAAGAUUUAUCGGUAAGAGAUUAGCCUGUAUGGUAUCAGUUAGUUGGUGGGGUAAUGGCCUACCAAGACUAUGACACCUAACUGGUUUGAGAGGAUGAUCAGUCACACUGGAACUGAGACACGGUCCAGACUCCUACGGGAGGCAGCAGUGGGGAAUAUUGCACAAUGGACGGAAGUCUGAUGCAGCAACGCCGCGUGGAGGAUGACACAUUUCGGUGCGUAAACUCCUUUUAUAUGAGAAGAUAAUGACGGUAUCAUAUGAAUAAGCACCGGCUAACUCCGUGCCAGCAGCCGCGGUAAUACGGGGGGUGCAAGCGUUACUCGGAAUCACUGGGCGUAAAGAGCAUGUAGGCGGGUAAAUAAGUUGGAAGUGAAAUCCUAUAGCUUAACUAUAGAACUGCUUCCAAAACUGUUUACCUAGAGUAUGGGAGAGGUAGAUGGAAUUUCUGGUGUAGGGGUAAAAUCCGUAGAGAUCAGAAGGAAUACCGAUUGCGAAGGCGAUCUACUGGAACAUUACUGACGCUCAGAUGCGAAAGCGUGGGGAGCAAACAGGAUUAGAUACCCUGGUAGUCCACGCCCUAAACGAUGUACACUAGUUGUUGCUAUACUAGAUAUGGCAGUAAUGCAGUUAACACUUUAAGUGUACCGCCUGGGGAGUACGGUCGCAAGAUUAAAACUCAAAGGAAUAGACGGGGACCCGCACAAGCGGUGGAGCGUGUGGUUUAAUUCGACGAUACGCGAAAACCUUACCUGGCCUUGACAUAGUAGAACUUUCUAGAGAUAGAUUGGUGCUAGCUUGCUAGACCUAUAUACAGGUGCUGCACGGCUGUCGUCAGCUCGCGUCGUGAGAUGUUGGGUUAAGUCCCGCAACGAGCGCAACCCACGUGAUUAGUUGCUAACAGUUCG
rnacentral:rRNA from 1 species